rnacentral:SRP_RNA from 1 species
GCUGGGCACAGUGGCGUGUGCCUGUAAUUCCAGUUACUCAGGAGGCUGAGGCAGGUGGAUUGCUUGAGCUUAGGAGUUCGAGGCCAGCCUGGGCAAUGUAGCAAGAACCUGUCUCUG